rnacentral:rRNA from 1 species
AGUGAACGCUGGCGGUAGGCCUAACACAUGCAAGUCGAACGGCAGCACAGGAGAGCUUGCUCUCUGGGUGGCGAGUGGCGGACGGGUGAGGAAUACAUCGGAAUCUACUUUUUCGUGGGGGAUAACGUAGGGAAACUUACGCUAAUACCGCAUACGACCUACGGGGGAAAGCAGGGGACCUUCGGGCCUUGCGCGAUUGAAUGAGCCGAUGUCGGAUUAGCCAGUUGGCGGGGUAAAGGCCCACCAAGGCGACGAUCCGUAGCUGGUAUGAGAGGAUGAUCAGCCACACUGGAACUGAGACACGGUCCAGACUCCUACGGGAGGCAGCAGUGGGGAAUAUUGGACAAUGGGCGCAAGCCUGAUCCAGCCAUACCGCGUGGGUGAAGAAGGCCUUCGGGUUGUAAGGCCCUUUUGUUGGGAAAGAAGUCCAGCUGGUUAAUACCCGGUUGGGAUGACGGUACCCAAAGAAUAAGCACCGGCUAACUUCGUGCCAGCAGCCGCAGUAA